GACGAACGCUGGCGGCGUGCCUAAUACAUGCAAGUAGAACGCUGAAGCUUGGUGCUUGCACCUAGCGGAUUAGUUGCGAACGGGUGAGUAACGCGUAGGUAACCUGCCUGUUAGCGUGGGAUAACUAUUGGAAACGAUAGCUAAUACCGCAUAACAUUAUAUAUCGCAUGAUAGCUACUUGAAAGGUGCAAAUGCACCACUACCAGAUGGACCUGCGUUGUAUUAGCUAGUUGGUGAGGUAACGGCUCACCAAAGCAACGAUACAUAGCCGACCUGAGAGGGGGAUCGGCCACACUGGGACUGAGACAAGGCCCAGACUCCUACGGGAGGCAGCAGUAGGGAAACCUCGGCAAUGGACGGAAGUCUGACCGGACAACGCCGCGGGAGUGAAGAAGGUUUUCGGAUCGUAAAGCUCUGUUGUAAGAGAAGAACGAGUGUGAGAGUGGAAAGUUCACACUGUGACGGUAUCUUACCAGAAAGGGACGGCUAACUACGUG
rnacentral:rRNA from 1 species